GACGAACGCUGGCGGCGUGCUUAACACAUGCAAGUCGAACGGAAAGGCCCUGCUCUUGUGGGGUGCUCGAGUGGCGAACGCGGGUGUAUCACGCGUGUAACCUGUCCUUGACUUUGUGAUAACUUUAGGAAACUGGGGCUCAUACCGGGUAUGAGCUCCUGCUGCAUGUUGUGGGUUGGUAAGUUUCGGUUUUUGGGGCUGGACUCGCAGGUUCUGAGCCUGUUUGGGGGGUAGUGGCUUACCAAGCGUUUGACGGGUAGCCGGCCUGGGAGGCUGACCAGGCACAUGGGGACUGAGAUAGGGCCCAGACUCCUACGGGAGGCAGCAGGGGGGAAUAUUGCACAAUGGGCGGGAGCCUGAUGCAGCAGCGCCGCGUGCGUGAUGACGUCCUUCGGGUUAUAAACCGCUUUCGCCGGAAACGAAGCGUGAGUGACGGUAAUUGAUAAAAAAGCACCGGCUAACUACGUG
rnacentral:rRNA from 1 species